rnacentral:rRNA from 1 species
GAUGAACGCUGACAGAAUGCUUAACACAUCAGCAAUUGAUUGGUGGCGGACGGGUGAGUAACGCGUAAAGAACUUGCCUCCCAGGUAGGGACAACAUUUGGAAACGAAUGCUAAUACCUAAUACUGUGAGAGAGCUUUGCGUCCCAUUAGCUAGUUGGAGAGGUAACGGCUCACCAAGGCGAUGAUGGUUAGCCGGCCUGAGAGGGUGAUCGGCCACAAGGGGACGGAGACACGGCCCUUACUCCUACGGGAGGCAGCAGUGGUGAAUAUUGGACAAUGUACCAAAGCUUGAUGAAGCAAUUAUGUGUGUGCUAUGAAUUUGUCGGAAUGUAAAGUGCUUUCAGUGAGGAAGCGGUACCAACAGAAGAAGUGACGUCUAAAUAUGUUCCAGCAGCCUCGGUAAUAC